AAAAAGUGCUAUAGUAACUAAAGUUUAGAAGCCAUAGUGGUUUCCAAAACACAGACAGGAGGAAAAUAUUAUG
ncrna:unclassified sequences Clostridium-PBP RNA